GUAAGUUCAGAGGUGAAUUGUUAGUUAAUGACUGAGCAGGGUUGGGAGCAGGGAGCUGAGAACUAGAAACAAACAGAGGCUAAAAGUUUGAAUGAGAUAUGUGCGAGUUUCUCUGGGAGGCAGGGUGCAAGGACAGAGGAAGGAUUGUCAAGAAGGAAAGGAAAAGCACCCACAGUGAAACCUGAAAGAGGCCCAAAACAAAACUCCCCUGAUUUCCUCAUUGCCUCAGGGCUGGGCCCCAGGUACAUUUAUUUCUUUUCUAAUUACCUACACCUGAGUGAACAUAGACAGGUAUUUAUAUCUCAGUGAGCUGUUUAGGUGUGUUUAUUUAGGUUUUAUUUAUAAUCCCAGAUUAGGUAAUUUCCUUUUAAAAAUUAUAGGUGGACUGUGAUGAGAAAGAGCUUUUAUCUGAUUGUUAGUAAGAUCAUAGGCGUAAAGAGAAUUUUGCUUUUGAAAACUUACAAGGGCUAUUGAGUUUUUCAAUUAAACAAUGUGGCCCUUCUAAGGUUACUAAAGAGAAACCCACAUAUUCACAAUCAACCUCUAAGGCUGUUGAGGUUUCUCAGUUCUUUGAACCUCGAACACUCUGUGUUCCUAAGCCACUAGAGGUGGAAACAAAAUAGAGCCGCUUAUCACAUUUCUUCUAUUCCACACCUCAGUAUUGUCAUCGUCUCCACUUGCCCUUCAGCGGAGGAGAUUAAUAGAUUUCAACAGGACCUUUUGUGGGCUCAGAGGAGCUGGCUCUGCACUUAUUUGCCCUCUUUGUGUGGUUGUAAAGUGUUCUGACCAGAUGACUCGGCAUUGCCAGUAAGAACCCAGCCCCAUGCCACAGGGACUCUAUGGCCAGAAGCACUGCUUCCUCUGCCUUGUUUCUUGAGAUCAGUGAAACAGGAAUAUUUUCUUGCGAAACCCUGAUUCAAUAACUGGUGGCUCAGAGCCCACAAUAAAAUCAUGGUAACAGUCUAUAAACAUCAAAACAUUAAUCCUUUCCAAGUAGGAGCUGACGAGAAUAAGCCUAAUUGCAGUAAUGACCUGAAGUAUAGAUGCUGCUCUGCAUAAACUCUCACUCCCUGGUGGGAAUGUUCCCAUGGAACUCUGGGACUGUGCCAUGCACACACCUAACUCUAAUAAUACUAAAUCUAAACAUGGGCAUUCCUGCUGGAUGAGCGGACUGAUAGUCAUUAAAGGCCUAAAAGAUGGGUACCAAGUCCACAGGAAGAAGUAAGUUCUUGGAUAGAUCCAGUGCAAGGUCAGUUUGCCUUAGCAGAGCACCAGAGUUCAGCAAAAGAAUGAACAUGUUCUAAUGUCAAGAUCACUCACUUUGGGAGAAGCCAACCACCAUGCCAGUAGAUACUCGAGAUGCCCAACAAAAGUGACCACAUGGUGAGAAACUAAGGCCCCUUACCCAUAACCAGCACUAAUUCGCCAUGUAAGUCACCUUGGAAUUGGAUCCUCCAGCCUUGGUCUAGUCCUCAGAUGACUGCAACCACACACAGCUACCACGUUGACUGCAAUCUCAAAAAAAGACCCUGAGCCAGAAUCACCAUCUAAGCCCCUCCCAUAUUCCAGCCCCACAGAGUUAUGUGAGAUAAUAAAUGUUUAUUAUUUUGAACCACUAAGAU
rnacentral:lncRNA from 10 species